GCAGGGCACGGCCGGAGGUGGAGCUGGCUGCGCUGGCGGCUCGGGCGCUCCGUGGCUCCGGGCACGGGGAGCGCGCGGCAGAGGGAGCGCAGCGCAGCCGCUGAGAGCCGCCCGCCCGCCCCAGCUGGCCGAGCCCCAGGAGCUGCCGCCGACAGAGAUUAAUGGGAAGGAAAAGCGGGUAAAGAGGGAACCCAGAGGAGUCUGGCACCCAGCAGUGAAGGUUGACCAGCCCGGAUCACUGCACUGGGGACCUGAAGCAAGGAGACUGACUGAUGUGUGCUUAGCACAGCCCGUCUUGUUGCAGUGACCAAGCACUUCUCUGGAGGCCUGUCCCGAGCAGCACACAGGUGACAGCGAGAUAUAUGGGACACACAAGCAAUUAAAGACUAGAAAAGACAGCGUGCUUCAAGUCCUGAGAUUUGCUAAGGAAGAGUUGGAUCAAGCAGCUUGAAGACCAUGGAGGGAGACUGUCUGAGCUGCAUGAAGUACCUGAUGUUUCUUUUCAAUUUCUUUAUAUUUCUGGGUGGAGCAUGCCUGCUAGGAGUUGGGAUCUGGGUCAUCGUGGAUCCAACAGGUUUUCGAGAGAUUGUGGCUGCCAACCCUCUGCUCUUCACAGGAGCAUACAUCAUGCUGGCUAUGGGAGCAAUGCUCUUUCUGCUGGGUUUCCUUGGCUGCUGCGGUGCCAUCCGUGAGAACAAAUGUCUCCUACUUUUUUUCUUCAUGUUUAUUUUGUUAAUCUUCCUGGCGGAGCUUUCAGCUGCAAUCCUGGCUUUUAUCUUCAGAGAAAAUCUGACAAGAGAGUUUUUCACCAAGGAGCUGAAGAAGCAUUACGUGAGGAACAAUGACACAGAUGUCUUCUCCUCCACCUGGAAUUCUGUUAUGAUCACAUUUGCCUGCUGUGGAGUGAAUGGACCAGAAGAUUUUGAAGCUGUCCCUCUUCUUCCGUACUUGCCUUUGGAAGAGAGAACACCGGAGGCUUGUUGCCAGCGAGAGCUCCAGAGCCGGGAAGGGAUGUUUGUUAACAGGGAAGCCUGCCUCAGAGGCAUCGACAAAUUUCAGAACCGACAGGGCUGCUACACUGUGAUCCUGAACUCCUUUGAGACCUACGUGUACCUUGCAGGAGCCCUGGCCAUCGGAGUGCUGGCCAUUGAGUUGUUCGCCAUGAUCUUUGCCAUGUGCCUCUUCCGAGGGAUCCAGUAGGAGGCGCCCCACGGACCACCAUGUUCCCAACAUGCUCGGAAGAAAGAAGGAAAAUCUGAUGAAACACAACCUGAAAACACGCAAAAAAACUUUAUUUUUUUUAACAAAAUGGGGUGGGGGGGAAAAUGGAAAAAAAAAAAAAAAGAAAAGAAAAAAGAGGGUUGUAAUAUAUGAAUGACCAAAAGGAUUGUACUUCAGGGGCUGGAACUUUGAGGUGAUGUGCACUACACUGUACACCGGACCCUUGCCCAGAGCCACCCUCAGCAGCUGUGGAGCAGGAGUCCAGUGCAGCCACUUCUGCUAUGGACAGAUGGAGCCCAUGGGGAGGAGUGGGAGGACGAGCGCAGCUGCCCCUCCUGCCUGUCAGUGCAAAGCCGUGCCUACCAUCCACAGCUCCGUCGUGCUUUAGACAGCAAAGGACCGAAGAACAGCAACCCAGGGGCUGGGUCAGGCAGCAGGUUGGCCGAAGUCUAGGACAGCCCAGGGAAUGGGGCACUGCGCUGGAGCCAAACUCAAACAGAGGGAAGGAAGCGUAACUGUUCUACCUCUGCUUCUGGAGCUGGUGUCAGUGGCUGUUCUGGUAGAGCCACUCACAGGGGAGGAACGACCCCAUGUGCAGAGAUGGCAAUUUGGAUAGAGGUGAGCAAGACAAACAGACAUACUUCUGAAGACUGAGGUAGGAUUGCUGCAGGCUUAUUUCUCUUCGGCUUUCCCAAUUCCAUACUGUUUUCUUUGGUUUUAGCUCACAUUCCCUCUCUCCCCUACUACUUGUCCCUGUACCGUCAAAAGACCCUUUAUUCUACUGUUCUGGUCUUUGCGCAGUUGUUUCCCCUCUCUUACCUUCUCUGGUCCCCCACCGCUCUUUUCUGGAUUAAGACUUAACUCUCUGCAUCUGUGCUGCUGGGAGCACAGCUUGACAUCACCGCAAAGGCCAGGCUGCACGUUUAAAUGAGAAACGGAGAGAGCUGUAGAGAUAUGGGCAAGUCUGAGAGUACCUGUGGAAGUAGGCAACAGGCAGAAGGAAUUGAGCCCAGGGGCAGUUAAUGAACAAACUCCUGUCGUAUGGCAAAGCAUGUAAAUUUGUUGUUUUUGUCCAGUGGUAAUGUGGCCACCCCCUCUGUUGUACAGUAGUUUUUCUCUUUUCAGAGCAGUAGGCAGGAGAAGCAGCUGUAUUUUUGUAUUUGUUUUUAGCAGCUCUGGUGAAUCUGGGGGAUCAGGGGCUCAGACUGGAGUCGCCGCUGGCUGCAGAGCAGAGGGGGCUGUGGCUGCCUGGCUGCAGUGCAGGGAGCACAGCCCAUGCACCUUCAGGGGGAGUAGUGGAGAGCAGCCCCACGUCCCUGCCCCCGGCUAUUUAAUGCUCAAAUGACCGUCGCAAAUGCCUGGGAAAAGGGCUGCGUGUGAAAUAAUGAUGUUGGAAAUCUAUUUUAAAAAAAAAAAACAAACCUGUAAAUGUUCUUUUUAUUAGUGGAGCUAAUUUAUCCCGUAUUCCCUACUGUAAUGCUUUUUUAUAUUGAAAGGAAUUUUUUUUGGUAAUAUAAACCAGAACACAAGGCUGAAGCACUCUCUGCACGGUUUUUGUGUGCAUUUCUUAAAAAAAAAAAAGUAAAAAAUAAAAGAAAGAUAUUGUGACAGUGAA